AUUUACAUAGAGACACUUUGCAUGAGAGAGUUUAUAGAGCUGUGAGUUUAACACUUCAUGACUGAGAGCAGAACAGAACACAAUCUUCAUCAUCACACAAGACACAACAACAACAAUGAACAACAUCAUCAUCCUCAUCUGGACUCUCACACUGUUUGCUCAAGAGAGUAGAGGACAGAUCACUGUAACUCAGAGUCCAUCAAUAACAGCAGCUCAACCAGGACAAGAAGUCAGAAUAAACUGUAAAACCAGCAGUAAUGUGUACAGUGAUAGUUAUGGGUCACGGAUGGCCUGGUAUCAGCAGAAACCUGGAGAAGCUCCUAAACUCCUCAUAUAUUAUAUAUCAACCCGUUUCACUGGAACUCCAUCUAGAUUCAGUGGCAGUGGAUCUAACAGUGAUUUCACUCUGACCAUCAGUGGAGUCCAGACUGAAGAUACAGGAGAUUAUUACUGUCACAGUGAACACUACAUCAACAGUAAAUAUGUGUUCACACAGUGAUAAAGAGUCGUACAAAAACCUCUGUCAGUCAGAGUCACAGUGACUGCACUGAUACAGCUGAGAGAUACUGCAGCUGCUGAUGAACACAAUCACACACAACACUGAUCAACACAAACACUAAUAACACAAUAUCAUCACAAUCAACAUUAAUCUUGUAUUUCUGAAGAGAAUGAGUCAGUGUUGUAAUAUAAUCAUCAUGUUUUAUGUGUAAUAUAUGAAUCCUGUCGAUCAAACUGAACAGACUGCAUUCAGUCACUUCUGUUGUCUGGACGUGAUGCUUUCUAUUUGACGCACAGAAAGAUUUACAAUCUUACAUACUUGCAGUCAGAAUGAUUAAUUCUUGAUGUAUGGUUAUUAUCACUUGUAUAAAUGUGUCUAUAUAUUUUCACCCUCUCCUAUAAAUGUAAUGGUGAGUUUGUCUGUGUGCUGCUUGACUAGAGCAGAAGUGAAACUGGUCUGUUUCAGUUCAGAUCAUGUAACCAAUCAAACAGAGACACUGGGAGUGUGGACUGAAAAUCUCAUUUACAUUGUGAGUGUGGAGUGAUUGUGAUCCUCUCAGAAUAGAGCA